CGCAACACUGCAAAUGUCACGAGGAAACACCCCGUUUCUCGCUGAUUUCACUGUUUUCAGGAAUGGUUUAAUGUCUUCGAAAAAGUCAGUUAGCAUUUCUACCGUUUUCAGACGACGUAUCUUCAGAAGGGAGUUUUCAAGAUUUCAAUAUUUCUGAAGGGAGCUG